CCUACGGGAGGCAGCAGUGAGGAAUAUUGGUCAAUGGACGAGAGUCUGAACCAGCCAAGCAGCGUGAAGGAUGACUGCCCUAUGGGUUGUAAACUUCUUUUAUAAAGGAAUAAAACGAGGCACGUGUGCAUUUUUGCAUGUACUUUAUGAAUAAGGAUCGGCUAAGUCCGUGCCAGCAGCCGCGGUAAUACGGAGGAUCCAAGCGUUAUCCGGAUUUAUUGGGCUUAAAGGGAGCGUAGAUGGGUUGUUAAGUCAGUUGUGAAAGUUUGCGGCUUAACCGUAAAAUUGCAAUUGAUACUGGCAGUCUUGAGUACAGUUGAGGUAGGUGGAAUUCGUGGUGUAGCGGUGAAAUGCUUAGAUAUCACGAAGAACCCCGAUUGCGAAGGCAGCUUACUAAACUGUGACUGACAUUGAUGCUCGAAAGUGUGGGUAUCAAACAGGAUUAGAUACCCCAGUAGUC
rnacentral:rRNA from 1 species